rnacentral:rRNA from 1 species
AUUGAACGCUGGCGGCAUGCCUUACACAUGCAAGUCGAACGGUAACAGGUUAAGCUGACGAGUGGCGAACGGGUGAGUAAUGUAUCGGAACGUGCCCAGUUGUGGGGGAUAACUGCUCGAAAGAGCAGCUAAUACCGCAUACGACCUGAGGGUGAAAGCGGGGGAUCGCAAGACCUCGCGCAAUUGGAGCGGCCGAUAUCAGAUUAGGUAGUUGGUGGGGUAAAGGCUCACCAAGCCGACGAUCUGUAGCUGGUCUGAGAGGACGACCAGCCACACUGGGACUGAGACACGGCCCAGACUCCUACGGGAGGCAGCAGUGGGGAAUUUUGGACAAUGGGCGCAAGCCUGAUCCAGCCAUGCCGCGUGCGGGAAGAAGGCCUUCGGGUUGUAAACCGCUUUUGUCAGGGAAGAAACGCUCUGGGUUAAUACCCUGGGGUAAUGACGGUACCUGAAGAAUAAGCACCGGCUAACUACGUGCCAGCCGCCGCAGUAAAAC